rnacentral:lncRNA from 1 species
ACUAACCUAAUUAAAAUUUGAUAGUUUAAUAUGGAGUUUGAGAGAAAAACUCACAGACAGUGUAUUGAGAAAGUCUGCUUUGCUGCUUGUGUAUCUCCAAUAAAGGAGAAAAAUGGGUUAGGAUUUUAUCAAUUUUUGUAAAAGGGUAAAUAUAUAAUAAUAAGAGCCAUAAACCUUUGGAAAAAGGAAAGGAAAGUGGAGCUUGGUGGAAAGAAAACAUGAUUUGACUGCUGGCCCACGUGGUAAAAUAAACAUAUUAAUUUAAUAUAGAUUAUUCAAUAAUAGCAAUACAUAUUACAUUUUAAAAGAAAGAAAAAACGUUGAGUGGGGGCCAGUGACUGCACUGGUCCCUACUUGCCUCCGCCCCUGCCCACAAGAUAAAAAAGGUCAUGUGCAGCUGUGGCCUCCGAAAGAUAUUUUGUUCAUUUUUAUAGAUCUUUUAGAAAGAAAUGGAUGAAUCGGUAGAGCAGGCUUACAAGGAACUUUUAGUAAUUAUAAUAAUAAUAUUAAUAAUUUCAAUGAGAGAAAUUCAAUCAUUA